rnacentral:rRNA from 1 species
UACGUAGGGGGCAAGCGUUAUCCGGAUUUACUGGGUGUAAAGGGAGCGUAGACGGUGAAGCAAGUCUGAAGUGAAAUCCCAUGGCUUAACCAUGGAACUGCUUUGGAAACUGUGCAGCUGGAGUGCAGGAGAGGUAAGCGGAAUUCCUAGUGUAGCGGUGAAAUGCGUAGAUAUUAGGAAGAGCACCAGUGGCGAAAGCGGCUCUCUGGUCUGCAACUGACGCUGAGGCUCGAAAGCGUGGGUAUCAAACAGG